rnacentral:rRNA from 1 species
UGAGGAACAUGACUUUCGGCGGGGGAUAGCCGGCCCAACGGCCGGGUAAUACCGCGUACGACCUUUUGGGGACAUCCCUGAUUGGUGAAAGCAGCAAUGCGCCGAAAGAGUGCCUCGCGGCCUAUCAGCUAGUUGGUGGGGUAAUGGCUCACCAAGGCAACGACGGGUAGCUGGUCUGAGAGGAUGGCCAGCCACACUGGGACUGAGACACGGCCCAGACUCCUACGGGAGNAGCG